rnacentral:misc_RNA from 1 species
AUCAACUCUCACAACAGCGCCCAUCGGAAUUCGCAAGGGGUUUGGCAUCUCUCAAUAAUAACGAAACGCACAUUCACAAUACGCAUUACCGCCACCUCCACUCUUCUCUCUGUGCCUCUCUCACUGCCACCUCACCUGUCCGACAGACUCUCCCCCUUAUCCCUACGUCCCGACACCAAAUGCGCAGUUAAACUCGCUUAUCAGCAUUGCGCACACGCGCAGCAUACACUCGCCCACUCCUCCCUCUAUCGUGUUUUCUUUUGUCGACCACCAUAAAAAACGUACUUCGUCUUCUCUUUGUACCAGCCCCCUCGUGACGUGUGGACCCCGCUCAGUGCGCCGUAUCUCAGGGUCCACUACCCACGCACUGUGUGGUGAAGCCAAGCAGCCCUCCCCAGCCCUAUCCCCUGCCGGAUGCAGAACCACCUCUGGUGGUGACACGGCCAGGCCCUGGAUGGCGUUGCGUUGGAGCGACCUGCGACAGUGGGUCAGCGUACACGUCUGUGCCAUCCAUGUGACAGGCAGAGCGUCAGCGUGACGCGAGCGCAUAUCCCACCCCCGGCCCUCGCGCUGCCUACAGCGGUGUGGGGGAGGCCUGAGGCACCCCGAGGGGAGGAUGCACCAGGCGGCGACCGGCAUGAUGCGGGAGCGGCGGUGAGGCGUGUCUAGGGCUGCUUCUCACCACGCGAUGUGAGGCCUGUGACAGGCCUGGCCGAGUGGUGUUCAGCGCAUGCUCUGCGCCAGAAUGGACAAGUUAAAGCAAACAAUCUUUUUACGGACCUCAUCCGUGGCGAUGCGGUCCAGCAAAGUGCUUAGGCUUCAUUCGCUCGGCCAUUACCUGGCCGACUUUCUCCACAGCAAAUUCGGCGCAAAACUCAACCAGUUGCCGACCACGGAGGGCGAAGAUGUCACUCACAACAGCAAUGGCGGCGGGCACUGCGCACUUCGCACCGGCGUUUCCGGGAGCCGCAUCGGUGUUCAUUAAAGACACAGUGCAGACGUACGCGUAUGUCAUGGAGGUCAACACAGAUGCCCUCGCUCCCUAUCCCCCCAUCGGCACGGCUACUGUCGUCCGGUCAACUACACCGAUGUUCCACCGCCGAAUAUGCAGAGCUGCUGCUUCUCCAAGUGUUAUCACACGGAAAGCGGGUCGAUGGCGCGAAGCUACUUCCACUCCUCCGAGACUGGUGCGGUGGAGAACCUUCCUACGGGACGACCUCCCUCGCACCACAUGUCGAGCAGAGCAACACAGCGCUACCCUGCGCCCUACCUUCAGAACGGCCUCGGCGGAAACGAAAGCGAAUUGGUUUAUCAGGGCAAGGUGAACAUCGCCGACGCCAAGAUGACAGAGAUGAUCAUCUCUAUGGACAACGGUAUGAUGUACGACGACGACGACGUACUGGAUCCGCUCGGCUACAAAAGGGGACUGGACCAGGACGUGAUAUCGUCCAUGGAUGCUAGUUACCGCGUCUUCCCCGAGGGCGCCGACCACAUCAUGGUUGGCCUCCCCAUGAGAUCGGCCCAGGCUACAUGCGCAGCCAUGCAGCACUCAGAGUUGCUCCCGGCCGUUGGUAUCCUCUGCAGCUUAUUGCAAAUUGAAACGCAGACUUCCAGGAGGGGUGUGCUUCACCAAGCUCGGGCGAACCCACAUCCGCACCACGAAGCCAUGAAGUUCGUUUUGCGCGCCAUCGUCGAUGCGAGUCGCUCCCGCCCCCUCCAACCUUUGACGGAAGCAGAGUUCCCGACGGGAUCAUGUUCAGAGAGGGCGCCCGGAAGACAUACAACGGCCAGACGCGCCGCCAGCAGGUGCGGCGCAUGUGCGCCAUCCACUUUCCACCGCUUUCUUACGCGAGCCGCAGCACCCGGCGGGGUUGGAAUCCACGAUGGAAAGGUGGCCCCACCACCCCACCCGCGCAUCCCGGCGCGGUUUUUGCCGCCGCCCCCGGGGAGGGGGGGGGGGGCGGGGACGCCGCGACCAAAACACCCCCGCGCGCCACCGGCCCACACCCGAAACCAGCCAGCCAGACAAAACGCCCCGCGAAAAGAGCCCGCCACCCAAAAACCACGACAAAAAAACGCACCGCCCAAGCCCGGGCCAAAUGGGGGCGCCCGCGAAAAGGCCUGGAAGCAGCCGCCACCCCCCCCCGACAGCGGGCAGCAUUCCGCCACCCCCCCCUCGACAGCGGGCAGCAUACCGCCAGCGCGCCACGGCCACGCAACCAGCAGCCGGCAGCAAUCCAAGAAAAAAACCCGUGCUUUAAGGUGUUGAAAGAAACUUUUUUUGGCAAGCGGUGUUCCGAAUCACCUCCGCCAAACGUCCUUCCGCGGCGUCGGCUGAGAACCCGCGGUGGAGCCAGGCGGCGUCAAGGAGAACGGCGCAAAACAGAGGAAGCCCCCGGAUGGCAGCAAAAGGCGCCCGAGUUGAAUAACAAUGAGUGCACCAAGCCGGCGGGGGUUCGGAAUUCGAGCGGGCGAAGAGGCAGGCGAACAGCGGCCCCGGCGCAGAAGCCUUUUACCCUCGCUAGAAAAACCAAAAUGGGCCCCCAGCACCCAGAGCAGCUUCUUUUGUGCCAUCGAUGUCGCCCACGCGGAAAACCAACAGCACCGGAAAGCCCCCGGAAAGAGACCAGCGAGCGCCUUACCGUCGCGGUGGGCUUGCGACCCCUUUCCCUUUGGCCGCGGAGAAUUCCACGAGCCCAUCGCGGCAGCUACGAGCACCCCCGACGCCCAUGUUGCCGCCCAUCAUCUGAAAUUUUCAUCACCCCGCAAGCCGCAAGCACAGCCACCGCCCCGCACGGAAGAAGCCCCAUGCGGAGAUCCCUGUACAGGAUGGGAAGCGCUUCCAAGCCGAAAGCGCCGACACCAGCAAAAACAAAAGCACCCCACCACCACCACCAAAAGCACCGGCUGGCCCCAGCCAACCCCUGACGAGGGGGAGGGCCUCCCGCAAACGACCCCUUUCCGGCUUUUCCACGAAAACCUUUUCAUGAAAGCUUCCAGCAAAGUCAGAAGCUCUUUGCGGGCUUUCAAAAGCACACUGUGGUUCCCCAGCAUUCACAAACAGAGUUAGAAAACGCCUGGGAAUACGCAGGCGGCUAUUUAACCCUCGCUGUCCCGUGAGGCUCUUGCCGGCGUACCGAAACGAGGCCCUGUGGCCCCCCACCCCGCCCUGAAAAGUUUAGUCCCCGGAUGCAACAUCCCGGCGCCAAACCGCAAACGCAGCCAGCGUUCUUAUUGCGAAAGGUGGUCGUGGAACAGUGGGCGCAAAAACAGCGCAAUUAAGCCGGGGCGGCUAUACGUUUUCGGCGCUGAACCGCGACAGCCCCACCUCUAUUCAACCAGCCCGCAAACAAACCGCCGGCCCUACUGACAACCACGAGCCCCGCGCAGGCGGAAGCGCAUAGGGGCAAGGGCCCCCUUUUUUGCCGACCGCCCCGCCGCCCCGCGCACGCCCCCCGCGCCGACCCGCCCCCCCCCCCUUAUACGCCCCGAACACCGCCGCCGCCCAGCGGCGAAAAAAAAAGAUAACCGAAGCAGCGCGGGCUUUUUCCAAUGGCAUCAGGAGUCUUAAAGACUUUGGCUGGUAGCCCUGGCUUGGAAAAAAAACGUGGUUUCCCCCAUCUUUUCUACCGAGAUAAUUCUUGGCACUCGCCGGGCACCAGGGGACAGGGUUUCCAGAAGCUUUGCGGCCCCUUUCAAAAUCAUAAAGCCAGCUUUUUCACAACGCCAAAACCCCAAGCUCUACAAAACGAGGUGGGAACCCAGCAUACCUUUGGAAGGCAGCUCAUCUCGCUCGAAAAAGGAAAGCGGCCCGCUACACCCGCCAACCCCGGGCCGCCCGGGCUGCCACAGGGCAAAACACUUCCUCCUUUUAGGGUUGAGUUGAUCUCCCCCACGGUGGCAAACCAGCCCCUAUGCAGCGUUUUGCGGCAGUAACAUGCGACGGCAGCCGUGCUUUUUCCGCGCAGGCCGUCAAAAAAAUGCAAACGAGACGUGUAAGCGCCCCGGCCCCCCCCCCCGCUGGUGUGGGAGGGGGGGGUGCAGGGGUCACCCGAAAGCGGUUCAACACCAGAGAAAACGCCAGAGGCGGGCAGCCAACGGGCCGGCGGCUUUUUCGAAAAGACGAUGCCCAGACAAUUGCGUUGGUGCCUUGCCGUGGCGUGUGUUUACCGGCCCUUUACGCAGCAAAACAGGGCAUGAAGAGAGAGAGCCGGGGCGGCUUGGCGCCUUAUGGGUGGCAGACGCCCCCGAUGAAGAAUCGCCUGGCAUUUGGGAAGAAACGAAGACCAGCGCACCGCAGGGCGGCCAUCUUUCACCGUUAAACACGGCCUGUAGUUAUCCACGCCAACUGUAGGGAAACUGAUUCAGCAGCUUUGGUAUUCUUCACGCCAACCUCCCGAAGAGGAAGUUAAGCUGAACCAAAGGUCUUCACACCCGGGGUUGCGCUACAUAAAG